UGCCCUUCCGCUUCUCCUCCAGCCCCUAAUGGUCUCUCCUUGCCCUGAACUCCUCCAAUACAAUGCUUUAUGUCUUCUUUCAUCCAUCUAAGCCCUGAGGGAGUUUAACUGCUUGUGGGAGACAAGAUACACUCUUAAAGGAAAGGACUUUAGAAUGAGAGAGCCUUGAUACCUAGAUUGGUAAAUGUCCUGGGGAGAACAGAAUCCUUGAAGUUGGCAACCAUUCCUGCACCAGCAAACUCCAACAAUCACCUUUAGGGAAGCAACUUAACCACCUUUACCUCCCACAUCGCUUUAAGCCAUGUUUCACCAUGCCUCUGGUUUUCAACUCACCACUACAAUCAACUUAAUCUGGAAGAUUCUGGAUUCUAGUCCUGGCUUCUGUGCACUAAAGUACCUCCUCUAUAAAAUGAGGGGUAUGAACUGUUGAUCUCUAAAGUCUACCAGCUCAAAAGUGACCUCGUG